rnacentral:rRNA from 1 species
UACGGGGGGGGCAAGCGUUGUUCGGAAUUACUGGGCGUAAAGGGCUCGUAGGCGGCCAACUAAGUCAGACGUGAAAUCCCCAGGCUCAACUUGGGAACUGCGUCUGAUACUGGGAUGGCUUGAAUCCGGGAGAGGGAUGCAGAAUUCCAGGUGUAGCGGUGAAAUGCGUAGAUAUCUGGAGGAACACCGGUGGCGAAGGCGGCAUCCUGGACCGGUAUUGACGCUGAGGCGCGAAAGCCAGGGGAGCAAACGGG